rnacentral:rRNA from 1 species
CAUAUCAAUAAGCGGAGGAAAAGAAACCAACAGGGAUUGCCCCAGUAACGGCGAGUGAAGCGGCAACAGCUCAAAUUUGAAAUCUGGCCCCAGGCCCGAGUUGUAAUUUGCAGAGGAUGCUUUUGGCGCGGUGCCUUCCGAGUUCCCUGGAACGGGACGCCAUAGAGGGUGAGAGCCCCGUACGGUUGGACACCAAGCCUUUGUAAAGCUCCUUCGACGAGUCGAGUAGUUUGGGAAUGCUGCUCUAAAUGGGAGGUACAUUUCUUCUAAAGCUAAAUAUUGGCCAGAGACCGAUAGCGCACAAGUAGAGUGAUCGAAAGAUGAAAAGCACUUUGAAAAGAGGGUUAAACAGCACGUGAAAUUGUUAAAAGGGAAGCGCUUGUGACCAGACUUGCGUCCGGUGAAUCACCCAGCUCUCGCGGCUGGGGCACUUCGCCGGCACAGGCCAGCAUCAGCUUGCCGUCGGGGACAAAAGCUUCAGGAACGUGGCUCCUCUCGGGGAGUGUUAUAGCCUGUUGCAUAAUACCCUUCGGCGGGCUGAGGUACGCGCUCCGCAAGGAUGCUGGCGUAAUGGUCAUCAGCGACCCGUCUUGAAACACGGACCAAGGAGUCAACCUUAUGUGCGAGUGUUUGGGUGUCAAACCCCUACGCGUAAUGAAAGUGAACGCAGGUGAGAGCUUCGGCGCAUCAUCGACCGAUCCUGAUGUUCUCGGAUGGAUUUGAGUAAGAGCAUAUAGGGUUGGACCCGAAAGAAGGUGAACUAUGCGUGUGUAGGGUGAAGCCAGAGGAAACUCUGGUGGAGGCUCGCAGCGGUUCUGACGUGCAAAUCGAUCGUCAAACAUGCGCAUGGGGGCGAAAGACUAAUCGAACCUUCUAGUAGCUGGUUCCGC